GGUCAGCCCCAUGAUAGAGCCUAUACUGUUAGACUGUCAUGGGGCUGAGGUGCAUGCUACUUUUUCCCAUUUGUUUUCACAGGUGCAGCUGCAGAUGUUUGUCUGUCAAGCUGAUUUUAUCACCUGGACUCCCCAGCAAAGUUUCAUUUUCCGUGUCCCAUGAUAUGAGGAUUUUAUCAUUAAGGCAGUGGACACCAUCAGCAGAUUCUGUGCAAGGCACAUUUACCCGUGGCUUGUUGGAACUUCAGCACAAGAGAUGGACAAGGAGGUUCAGAUUACAGCCGGUAGCAACAAGAAGAAGCGCUACAAUGUGCGUGGACCCAAGAAAGACAGGAAGACACAGUACACAUGCAUCAAGUGCAAGAAAUACAUUUGCAACACACACGCAGCAAAACUCUGUUCCUCGUGUGGUGUAGACCAGCCUUAAUUUGUUUUCAAUGGGUCUCAUUUAUAAUUUCCAUAAAAUACUGUAUGUAAAAUUUGUCCAAUUUGUUCAGUUCAAAGCAAUAAACAUCAUAGUGAUAAAAACCUUGUUUCAUUUAUAUGUGUUCAAGAUAAACAUGAUUAUUCCACCCAUGUCUUGAUUAUAAAUUAUUUUUAACAAAAAAAUCUAAUUUUAUAAAACGAAUAGCGCUUUUAUUGACAAAUGUGAUCUAGCAGAGGUAAAUGGCAAAUAUUAACCAUGUAUGCUGUCUAUACUGCCUGUAAUUGAUAUAAGUCAACAUCUAAGUAUUCAUUAAGUAUUUUUAUGUCAAUUGAAAUGGCUGUAUUUUUUUUUAAACAAUAAUGUUGUGGGUCCAUCAGACCCGCAACCAUUGGGUGAAUAACAAAAACAUGAACACCACACAAGGGUUAAGUAUAUUUUAACAAUUACAUUUCCUUCCGAUACUAAAGUAUAUUUAAAACCAAAUACUUUUACUCAAGUAGUAUUUUACUGGGUGACUCACUUUUACUACACACAUCACAUUAAAGUACUGACUGCAACUCACAUUUUCUUGUGUGGUUACUUUGCCUAACGAUUGAAUGUUGCCUUAACUCUCCUUCCCUCAGACCAGCAGCAUUUCAGGACAGGCAUACAAACAGAAAGUGAGACGUCACCUUCCGUUCCUUGCCUCUGACCUCCAACCUUCAGCAGUCAAGAGCAGUUGACAGUUUACAAGGCCAUGUCCUACAGCAUUCUGCUCCCCAUCACCCAGCCCCCCCAUCCCAGAGCUUCUGAAGGACCAUCAGCACAGGUCACAAGGGCAGACACUACCACCAAGCAGAAGAUGAACAAUAAGCGCUGGCCCCACUCACACUACAUGGCUGCUCCUUCACAACCAGCAACUACAAGGUGCUAAUAUCACCCUCGCUGAAUACACUAUCCUCAGAAAUAAAAGGAGUCAAACUGGAACU